GCCAGUGUGGCUCAGUGGAUAGAGCGUCGGCCUGUAGACUGAAGGGUCAGGGUUCGAUUCCCGACCAAGGGCA
rnacentral:tRNA from 1 species